rnacentral:rRNA from 1 species
GAGUUUGAUCCUGGCUCAGAGCGAACGCUGGCGGCAGGCCUAACACAUGCAAGUCGAGCGCACCUUUUCGGAGGUGAGCGGGGCACGGGUGAGUAGCGCGUGGGAACCUACCCUGGGGUAGGGGAUAAGCGCUGGAAACGGCGGCUAAUACCCUAUACGUCCUUCGGGAGAAAGAUUUAUCGCCCUGGGAUGGGCCCGCGUCGGAUUAUCUAGUUGGUGGGGUAAAGGAUCACCAUGGGGACGAUCCGUAACUGGUCUGAAAGGAUGAUCAGCCACGCUGGGACUGAGACUCGGCCCAGACUCCUACGGGAGGCAGCAGUGGGGAAUAUUGGACAAUGGGCGCAAGCCUGAUCCAGCCAUGCCGCGUGAGUGAAGAAGGCCUUAGGGUUGUAAAGCUCUUUCACCCGCGAAGAUGAUGACGGUAGCGGGAGAAGAAGCCCCGGCUAACUCCGUGCCAGCAUCCGCGGUAAUACGGAGGGGGCAAGCGUUGUUCGGAUUUACUGGGCGUAAAGGGCGCGUACGUGGAUGUUCGCGUCAGAUGUGAAAGCCCCGGGCUCAACCUGGGAACUGCCUUUGAGACGGGACAUCUUGAGUUCGGAAGAGGGUAUCGGAAUUCCCAGUGUAGAGGUGAAGUUCGUAGAUAUUGCGAAGAACAUCGGUAGCGAAAGCGGCUACCUGGUCCGACACUGACGCUGAAGCGCGAAAGCGUGGGGAGCAUACAGGAUUACAUACCCUGGUAGUCCACGCCGUAAACGAUGUGCGCUAGGCGUUGGGAUGCUUAGCAUUUCGGUGGCGAACUUAGCGCAUUAAGCGCACCGCCUGGGGGAGUACUGCCGCUAGAGUUCUAACUCUUACGGAUUUGACGGGGGGCCCGCACAAGCUGCUGGAGCAUGAGGCUUUAAUUCGCAAGCAUCGCAGCGGAAUCUUUACCAGUCCAUUGACGUGGGUUUUCC